CAGCCGCGGGAAUACGUAGGUCCCGAGCGUUGUCCGGAUUUAUUGGGCGUAAAGCGAGCGCAGGCGGUUAGAUAAGUCUGAAGUUAAAGGCUGUGGCUUAACCAUAGUACGCUUUGGAAACUGUUUAACUUGAGUGCAAGAGGGGAGAGUGGAAUUCCAUGUGUAGCGGUGAAAUGCGUAGAUAUAUGGAGGAACACCGGUGGCGAAAGCGGCUCUCUGGCUUGUAACUGACACUGAGGCGCGAAAGCGUGGGGAGCAAACAGGAUUAGAUACCCGGGUAGUCCCUGUCUCUUAUACACAU
rnacentral:rRNA from 1 species